rnacentral:rRNA from 1 species
UACAGAGGGGGCAAGCGUUAUUCGGAAUUAUUGGGCGUAAAGGGCGCGUAGGCGGCUUGGCAAGUGGAAGGUGAAAUCCCUCGGCUUAACCGAGGAACUGCCCUCCAAACUGCUUCGCUUGAGACCGGGAGAGGUGAGUGGAAUUCCCAGUGUAGCGGUGAAAUGCGUAGAUAUUGGGAGGAACACCAGUGGCGAAGGCGGCUCACUGGACCGGAACUGACGCUGAGGCGCGAAAGCGUGGGGAGCAAACGGGG